rnacentral:tRNA from 1 species
UUGGGUUCGUAGGGGCAGUUGGUUGAUCUUUUGUGUCAAUGGGGAAGCUUUUAU